UACGGAGGGAGCUAGCGUUGUUCGGAAUUACUGGGCGUAAAGCGCACGUAGGCGGCUUUGUAAGUUAGAGGUGAAAGCCCGGGGCUCAACUCCGGAACUGCCUUUAAGACUGCAUCGCUUGAAUCCGGGAGAGGUGAGUGGAAUUCCGAGUGUAGAGGUGAAAUUCGUAGAUAUUCGGAAGAACACCAGUGGCGAAGGCGGCUCACUGGACCGGUAUUGACGCUGAGGUGCGAAAGCGUGGGGGAGCAAACAGG
rnacentral:rRNA from 1 species